rnacentral:rRNA from 1 species
GAUGAACGCUGGCGGCGUGCCUAAUACAUGCAAGUCGAGCGAACAGACGAGGAGCUUGCUCCUCUGACGUUAGCGGCGGACGGGUGAGUAACACGUGGAUAACCUACCUAUAAGACUGGGAUAACUUCGGGAAACCGGAGCUAAUACCGGAUAAUAUAUUGAACCGCAUGGUUCAAUAGUGAAAGACGGUUUUGCUGUCACUUAUAGAUGGAUCCGCGCCGCAUUAGCUAGUUGGUAAGGUAACGGCUUACCAAGGCAACGAUGCGUAGCCGACCUGAGAGGGUGAUCUGCCACACUGGAACUGAGACACGGUCCAGACUCCUACGGGAGGCAGCAGUAGGGAAUCUUCCGCAAUGGGCGAAAGCCUGACGGAGCAACGCCGCGUGAGUGAUGAAGGUCUUCGGAUCGUAAAACUCUGUUAUUAGGGAAGAACAAAUGUGUAAGUAACUAUGCACGUCUUGACGGUACCUAAUCAGAAAGCCACGGCUAGCUACGUG